rfam:Variovorax sp. HW608 genome assembly, chromosome: I
CAAGUCCAUUGCGAUGAAGGUGUAGCGAGCCACAUCGGCCCCGAGCCGUGCGCCGGCUCCCGCGAGGGUGUCGGCGAAGCGUCGGUAGGGGAACACACAGGCCAGCCAUUGAGCCGCGAUAGUAUUCUUGUCCGGGUGCCGACGCUGUCGACAAGGCGGAAGGCAACACAUCCAAGCGCGCCAUCGCAAGCGUUUGGAUGGCCCGGCGUGGUCGUAGACCC